rnacentral:rRNA from 1 species
AUUGAACGCUGGCGGCAGGCCUAACACAUGCAAGUCGAGCGAGCGGCGGCCGGGUGAGUAAUGUAUGGGAAACUGCCCGUUGGAGGGGGAUAACUACUGGAAACGGUAGCUCAUACCGCAUACUAUCAGAUAUACCCACAUGGGAUUAGCUAGUAGGGGGGGAAAUGGCUCACCUAGGCGACGAUCCCGAGCUGGUAUGAGAGGAUGACCAGCCACACUGGGACUGAGACACGGUCCAGACUCCUACGGGAGGCAGCAGUGGGGAAUAGUGCAUAAUGGGCGCAAGCCUGAUGCAGCCAUGCCGCGUGUAUGAAGAAGGCCCUAGGGUUGUAAAGUACUUUCAGCGGGGAGGCGUUACCGGCAGAAGAAGCACCGGCUAACUCCGUGCCAGCAGCCGCGGUAAUUC